GUCGGUAAUUUAGUUAAUAAGUCUUUGAUCAUAUUCUAAAUUAUUCCCUAAAUGUUUGUGUAUUUGGAUCUGUUACUCCGUUACCGUUUAUCCUGAGAAAAUGUCACAGCCUUCACUGUCAGGAGCUGUGUCUCGGACUCGCCUGGAUCCCCCAGUUGGCUUAAGGGUGUUGAAUAGAGAAAGGCUGCACCUACCUAGGGUGGAGGUGAUGCGGUUGUCACUCAUCUGGAAGGAAUUUGAGAGGCUGAGCAGAGGAGACAGGCAGCAGCGGGUACAAGUCCCAGACCAAGAGGCAGGAGAUCCUUUUACACCAUGCUGUAAACUUGGGAGUUAAAGUCUUGGCUGAGUUUGGUCCUGGCCUCACGCUGAUAUC